rnacentral:rRNA from 1 species
UACGUAGGGGCCUAGCGUUGUCCGGAAUUACUAGGCGUAAAGGGUGCGUAGGUGGUUUCUUAAGUCAGAGGUGAAAGGCUACGGCUCAACCGUAGUAAGCCUUUGGAACUGGGAAACUUGAGUGCAGGAGAGGAGAGUGGAAUUCCUAGUGUAGCGGUGAAAUGCGUAGAUAUUAGGAGGAACACCAGUUGCGAAGGCGGCUCUCUGGACUGUAACUGACACUGAGGCACGAAAGCGUGGGGAGCAAACAGG